UACGUAGGGUGCAAGCGUUGUCCGGAAUUAUUGGGCGUAAAGAGCUCGUAGGCGGUCUGUCGCGUCGGCUGUGAAAACUCGGGGCUCAACCCCGAGCCUGCAGCCGAUACUGCGGGGCUAGAGUGCAGAAGGGGCAACUGGAAUUCUCGGUGUAGCGGUGAAAUGCGUAGAUAUCGAGAGGAACACCUGCGGCGAAGGCGGGUUGCUGGGCUGACACUGACGCUGAGGCGCGAAAGCUAGGGGAGCGAACGGG
rnacentral:rRNA from 1 species